rnacentral:tRNA from 1 species
GCAGUAGUGAUUCAGUGGUAGAAUUCUUGCCUUCCAUGCCAGAGACCUGGGUUCAAUUCCUGGUCAGUGUA